GAAAGGGCUGUAGCUCAGUGGUGGAGCAUCUGCCUUGCAUGCGGAAGGUCCCAGGUUCUGCCCUUGACGCCCACUUCU